CUCUUUCUCUCUGUAAGUUUAUUUCUCAGGUAUUUUGUCACAGAGAUAGAAAGCUGACUAGAAUGCCCAUUAGUAACCAAGGACACACUUGGCUAGAUGAUGGUGCAAGUAUUUCUUUAUUUUUCCCCUUUAGAUAAUUUUUUACUCUGCAGAAACCACCAUGGCUUGGCACCUUGAAGACCCCCCUUCCUCCCCUACCCAUUCUCUACCCCUCAGAUUCCCCUCCCCUUGCCUCCUGCAUUGUAGCUACUUCCCACCAAUACCUGUGCUUGCCUUGGACACUCAGGGGCUUUGGAGCAGAACACCAGGAGAGUGAACUUCUCUCAUAUUAACAUUUACCGCUAGAUAUGAAUGCAUGCUUUACAAUGCUGGAAGACCCUCUUCCCACAGGGUGCCUGUGUGCCUCCUGCACUGUCCAAGAAAAAUCAUGGACAUGCGGUCAAGAAGAAAGAUGGCAGCUGUGGCUCUUGGUGCUUACCUUGUAUUCCUAUAUCGCAUACAUCCCUGACAAGAUGGCACACUCAUAAGCAAGGUUGUGUCAUCUUUGUGGUCACAGGAUAUGUAUUAUUUGUACCAAGGAUCAAACUCAGGACCUUACGCUUGUGAGGCAGGCGCCAGCACCACUGAGCUAAAUCAUCUUGUCCUGGAUUGUUCUGAAGCAGUCCCAGGCAUCUUGUCACUAUCUGAACCAUGGUUUGGUUAUGUUGGAGUGUUUCCCAAGGGUCAUUAUGUUGGGAGCUUAGUCCUCAGUGUGGCAAUAAGGGAGCUGGUAGAACAUUAGGAAAUGGAACAUAAUGGGAGGUAGUUAGGUUAUUGGGGGCAUUGCUGUGGCAGGAGAUUAAUGUAGUUCAUGAAGGACCCUGGCAAAUUCUCACCAGAGUGUGUCAUAAUAAAGCAAAACCACCCAUGUGUUUGGCCCUUUUCUGCAUGUGGCUGCUUUGCUUUCUGCUUCCCUGCUAUGCUGUGACGUGCCAGAGAGGCCCACGGAUGGAGCUGCUUG